UACGGAGGGUGCGAGCGUUAAUCGGAAUUACUGGGCGUAAAGCGCGCGCAGGCGGCUUGAUAAGCCGGUUGUGAAAUCCCCGGGCUCAACCUGGGAACGGCAUCCGGAACUGUACGGCUAGAGUGCAGGAGAGGAAGGUAGAAUUCCCGGUGUAGGGGUGAAAUGCGUAGAGAUCGGGAGGAAUACCAGUGGAGAAGGAGGCCUUCUGGACUGACACUGACGCUGAGGUGCGAAAGCGUGGGUAGCAAACAGG
rnacentral:misc_RNA from 1 species